AGACUUUUUCAGUGAGUGCACUUUGGGGAAGAAAUGGAACUUCGUUUGAGAAUAUAAAUAUCUUACAAAAUUGCCUGUAAGAUUAUCACAGCUGCCUUGACAAGGCUUGGAAUAAAUACCCGGAGAGUAGGGCUAAAGAGGAGAAUGAAGCAGGAUUCUUCAGUUCAGGAUAUCAAAAGGAAAGUGUGACUCAGAAGAGGAGUGAAAAUGUCCUGAAGAGGGAUAAAAAGACUCUGUAUCCUCUUUUUGGGAGUGUGUGUUCAAGUGUUCAAGGAACAGUUGUAUGAAGGGAUGUGGAAGCAUGAUUUUGCUAUCUUCUUUGUUUGGAAGUUAGGUAUGGUUAGAAGAGAAUCUCCUGAAGAGAAAGUUUUACAAAAGUCUUCCUUCCAGUAAGCCUCAGGGAAACUUAAUCAGAAAUGCAGUAAUUCGUAUGCAAAACAAUUUGCUCUGGGGCAGCUCACCUUCCUUCUCCAGCUGUUGCUCAUCUUGAAGGGCCUGUGUACCAGGUACCAUCUGCUAACUCCCACAGCCUUUUUGUCAUCUGUGCCCUAAUAAGACUUUCACUGCCUCAAAAUCAACCAGAAGUAGGUGUCACUUCUUUGUGCUGAAGCCAGGAAAACAUCUGGACCCCAAGUAGUUCCCAAUGAUCAAAGCAUCUCACGAUAUUUUGAUCCAUACAAGACCCAGUGAUCUCACUUCCUAUCCAGUUGAAUAGACCCUGAUAAGCAUGAGGCCACAGACUUGCCAAAAAAGUAGCUGAUGGAAGUCCCAGAAGGUGUCACUCAGAGAAGAAGAGACUGGGUGCUCCAGACAUCUCUGAGCAGCCAAUGUAGUGAUCUGGGGUCUGUCUGAAUGGUGGCUGGAGCAUCGUGGCGCCUGCUGGAUGCAGAGAAUUAAUUCCACCUGCCACCGCAUCCUUGAAUAAAGAGGUCAUUCGUUGACAGCACUUCUCGCAUCCACUCAUGGAAGCACAGAGUGUUCAUGAUGUCUGGUGAGUACCCAUCCAGAGGGGAGACGCUGGAGGGCUGGAUGGCAAUGCU